GGCUCAGUGGUCUAGGGGUAUGAUUCGCGCUUCGGUGCGCGAGGUCCGGGUUCAAAUCCCGGCUGAGCCC